ensembl:lncRNA
UUUUUUUUUUUUUUCUUUUUUAGGGGAAAAAGGGUUAGUCAUCUCUUGAAAGUACAUAUUGAGGUGACAAAUAGUCUUAGAAUAUAAACAGGGAUGACUCUGCAUUUUGCCGUGUUUAAUUCUUUUGAAAUAAGCCCAUCUUCCCUACAGAAUAAAACGCCUUAGGAGAACAGGCUUUAUCAGUAGCUAUUUCUGUGCUGUUGCUGGAAAGACUAUUGUCCUGGGACUGGGGACUCGGUUUGCGUUCUCGAGGAUACCUGGAAGGACACCAGUCCUGUUCUCUUGCCUGUUCAUCGAGAUAUUAGUGUCCGGUCAAUAUGUGCAACUAUUCUCGAUCACGCCUGUUCAUCUCUCCGCAUGUCUGCUAACAUUUGUAUAAUAGGGAUGCUAUGAAAAAAAGAGUCUAAAUCAUGUAUUUCUCAUUGACAUAAAACCGGUACUGGCCUACUAAUGAGCCAAGCUGUAGGGCCUUUGGAAUGAAUAGCAAUGCAUAAGCUCAUUCUCCGUUUUCCCAAAUGGUUUCUUAGAUGUCCUUAGCAGAAUAUAAUGAACUUAAAAUUCUUAAAUACCCCUGGUGGCUCAGCAGGUUAAUGAUCUGAGGACUUGGCGUUGUCCCUGCUGUGGCUUGGGUCACUGCAGUGGCGUGGGUUUGAUCUCUGGCCCAGAAACGUCUGCCUGCCACAGGUAGGGCCAAAGAACAAAACGAAACACAACACCCUAAAAUUCUUAAAUAUAAACGAUUCACUUACAACAAGAAGAAAUUCUAUUAAACGUCCGAAACACAUAAAACAGUAGUCAGAAAUUCAGUAAUUCAUUCUUUCUUCUUUCCUUGGACUAAACUGGAUAAUGUCUCACAGUUAUAGUUUGUUGAAGAUAAUACCUCACCUCAGAGCAGUUUAAAUUUUCCACAACUGGAACAGGAUCUCGUAGGUACCCUAAGUGGUGCCGACUGACAGCAGGGAGAGCCCUUCCAGACAGGUGCUUCUCAAGAUGAUUGAUGUCGAUUUAGAAGUUAUAAUUAAUCUCAAAUUCUCCUCAAUUAGGAACCCUGGAUUAACCUAAAGCAUCUUUGUCUUAAUCGCCAAUGUUAACACAGACCAUGGAGAGCAGAGUGUGGUCAGGAUAGAUUUCCUGAUCUCCUUUCAGAUAGUUUCUUAGCCUUGAGUGUCUGUCAUAAAUUAAGUCAAAAAGUAUGUCAGUCAGCUCUGCAUAGAAUAGUAUUUCAAAUUUCAAUAUUAUUGUAUAUUUAAACAUCAAGUCUUCAUAUUUUUGAGUGUUUCAAAGUUUGGCUAUUGGCAAAACAUGUCAGUUUCUUUGCUCUGAAAUUUAGACUUCUUCCUGAAGCAAAAGAAAAAAAAAGGAAAGAAAAUAUAUACAUUACUGCAUUUUCCCCAAAAUCAUGAGCUUCUUUUGCAGUUAUACUGAGCUAGCAAAAUUAUUCCUUUAUGAAUAAUUAACUGCUUAAAGAGUGAAUUAACAAGAAAAAAAUUUUAAACAGAAAAAGCUUUUUGUUUUUUUACAGAAAAAGGCAUAAGGAUAGUGUCGAGUUUGGAGGGUGGUGAAUAUCAUGAAAAAUUCAAAUUCUCAUUGGAAGAUAGUUUUUUUUUUU